CAACCGCCUACUUCCCGCGCCCGUGUCUCGCUGGCGACCAAACCCUAGACAAGCCUCCGAUUCCUCCUCUCCCGAUCUCUAUAAAAGACCACCGAUUUCGAAUUCCCUUCCCGCGGAAUCCGCCCUCCUCCGGGCGCGCCCGAACCCGGGCUCCCGCGCGCGGGGCUGGGGCUUGGGGGCGGAGGUCUGGUGGAUCGGCGAGGGGGUGGAAUAUAUGGCGGAGGCGGCGGCGGCGUUGGAGGGGAGCCAGCCGGUGGACCUGUCCCAGCACCCCUCCGGCAUCGUCCCCAUGCUCCAGAAUAUCGUGUCCACGGUCAACUUGGACUGUAAACUGGACCUGAAAGCAAUAGCUCUUCAAGCGCGCAAUGCAGAAUAUAACCCCAAGCGUUUCGCUGCAGUUAUCAUGAGGAUAAGAGAACCAAAAACCACCGCAUUGAUAUUUGCAUCAGGAAAAAUGGUUUGCACUGGAGCAAAAAGUGAACAGCAGUCUAAACUUGCAGCUAGAAAGUAUGCUCGCAUCAUCCAGAAGCUUGGCUUUCCUGCAAAAUUCAAGGACCCAAAGAGGAAGAUAAAGAUUACAAUCAAGUCCUUCGCCACCGUCCUUGCGCUGAGAAAUCCGAGCAUGGCCACCCGCAUCGUCACCGGGGACGACACCACUUGGGACGAGGCAGGCGUGAGAGGCCAUACCGGGGCCAAAGAUCCUCCCUUUUGGCAUGUCAGCCGGGAGGAAGAGAAAGCCGAGGCGCGAAACAGUAGUCAGCACCAGCUUGUGGAGCAGCCGCUCGAACGGCCAAUGGAUACAGCGGCUAGAUGGCAACAGCCAUGUUGGCACCGCUGGGGAUGAGCUCCGAGGAAGAAACGCAGACGCAGCUUCACCAUCUUCCCAUGGAGCUUCGGAUCCAGGCAAAUCAGCCCUUCUACCGCCACCAUGACGGCCAGGACGAGCCAAAGAACUGCAAAACGAAGCACCAUCGAGCUUAUUGACGAAGCCAUCGCCAGAUCCGAAGCUUUUCUUCGUCCUCCACCAUGAAGAACGGAUGGAAAAGAUGGCUGGCCUCCUCGUGCCACUGCUCGCGAGCAGCAGAGAAAAGCUUCUUGAUAACUGCACUAAGCCAAACGCCCCUAAGGCAGCCCUAGACCUAGCCCUACACCAAAUCCUACAACUACGACGGACGCCAGCGGCCCGGCCUCCUCUCCCAUCCCCACUCCAGCCGGCGAGGCCGACGGAGGGAAAGAGGAGAGGAGCCGGGGCGGAGAGGAGCCGAGCGGUUCUCAAGGGGGAAGAGAAGGGGAGAGAAAGAAAGGGAGAGUCCUCUUAUGGUUACAGUGGAGUUAGGACUUCAAGAUCCAGAAUAUUGUUGGGUCUUGUGAUGUCAAAUUCCCUAUAAGGCUUGAGGGCCUUGCAUAUUCUCACGGUGCUUUCUCGAGUUAUGAGCCAGAGCUAUUCCCAGGCCUGAUUUAUCGGAUGAGGCAACCAAA